UUUUUGUUAAAAUGUCGAAUAUUUAUUUAUUUUUUAUUUAUUUUUUAAAUAUGAACCAGCUGAUAGCCGUAACACCAGCUGCGCCCGAAGUGCCCCACUUCCGACGCAGCUGCUUAUUUUUUCUUUUUUAAAUUAAAAUGUUUAGAUCUGGAUUCAAUCUCACCAUCGCCGCACCAUCUUUAACUCCAAACACCAUCUGCGAGCACCACCACCGUCCGCCUCCACCGCAGCCACCACCACCGUCCGCCAUUUCCCCCUCCACCGUCAGCCACCCUCGUUGUGUUAUGUGAUUUUCAGCUUUCUUUGUCUGGAAAUUAUUCAUCAUUGCACGUAAAGUGCAAUCAGCCUUCUUUUUUCCUCUUCCUAUAUUAGCAGUUUUCUAUGUCUGGAUGCUAUCCCUAUCACUGAACUUGCUACAAGGCUGUUGAUAGGAUUGAUCCUAGUGCAUGGGAAUAUUCAUGCUUGGCUUCAACUCAAAGGUUAUCAAACUCUUAGCCAAUAUAUUGAAGAAGGCAUGUUAGGUGCUGGUGCUUAUGUGGCAAGAAUCUCGGAUUAUGUCCUUGUUGUGCAGCAACAGUGCUCAAUUCAUACUCUCAUCUCAAAUCACGGGAUCAGUUCCUAUGAAUGGAAUCUCAAGGGGUACUUCUAACACCAGAUUGAAUCUCGCAUCACUGGUUUAUGGAAAUAGGUGUCAGGCUUAAAGUCUAUUACUUCUAAGCACCUGGCUUUGGCAAGUCAAGUAAUCAGUUUCACAUAUGCUAUUAUACCUGGUAUGUGAUGCUGGAUUAAUUAAUUGCCGAUAAUUCUAAUUGAUAGUGUUAAUACUCACUUAUGUUGGUCGGUUGCUCUGAGUACUGUCUUACGGUCGGUGGGUCGGACAGUAGGAAAGCCCACUGCCGACCCGCCGAGCCGUUAAUGCUCACCGUAUUUAACGUUAUCACUAAUCUUUUCUAUACGCACACAAAGCCAUGCAAUAUAUGUAUGCUUCUUGAUGACUUGUCUCAUUUCAUCUCAUUUAUUAUUCAUUUUAGUUACUUGGUACUUUCUAGCAUCUCUGCUCAUUUUCAUGCUUAAAAUAUGUUAUAGUUAGUAUGGUUUGAGUGGAUAUAAGGUCCAGUUAUGACUUAUGACUAACAUGGCAGGCUUUUUCCCCUUUUCUAAUGAUUGGCUCUACUCCUUAACUUCUCCUCCUGUCUGCCCAGUUUUCGGCUCUACAAACCGUCAAUAGGAUAUGUUCUUGUUUUGUUUAAACUUUGGCAGAAUUGAUGCAUUCAUUUUUGUUUGCUUAUAAGAUUUUACGCACGGCUCUACAAACCGUCAAACACUGCCCAGUUGUUCUUGGAUUCUUUUCCAGCUAUAUCAGCGGCAAGAAAGGGAGUCAGCGAUGCUUGCAAAGAAGCAAAAGACCUAUGGCUCAUAUAUUAACAUCUUACGUUGUUUUGACUGAAUGUGAUGUUGCAGAAAAUUAAGGAAGCGGAAGAGGCAAGACGAGUCAGGGGACGAACUUCUGAAGAAGAGGAUGAUGGUGCUGAUAGUUCUGAGAGGAGAGAAUUAGGAGAUCUGAUGAAGAUGAACGUUAUUGGGGCAGAAGGAAGCAAGAUGCAGAAGAAUCAGCGUGGUCGGAUAAUUCUACUCAUGUAAUAUCACAGUUAGCCCAUUGUUUUAGUGAGUGCAUAUUGUUGAUACUCUUUUUGGAUAGUUUUCUUACCUAUAUAUCUCUGAACUAGUAUAUUUAUUUUGUGCUAUAGAUGCAAAACGAAUUGUUUAUAGUUUUCUUACUAUUAGAAUAAAGAAGUAAUCCUUACA